CAGCAGUAGCCGCGGGAAUACGAAGGGUGCAAGCGUUAAUCGGAAUUACUGGGCGUAAAGGGUGCGUAGGCGGUUGUUUAAGUCAGAUGUGAAAUCCCCGAGCUUAACUUGGGAACUGCAUUUGAAACUGGCAAGCUAGAGUCUUGUAGAGGGGGGUAGAAUUCCAGGUGUAGCGGUGAAAUGCGUAGAGAUCAGGAGGAAUACCGGUGGCGAAGGCGGCCCCCUGGACAAAGACUGACGCUCAGGUGCGAAAGCGUGGGGAGCAAACAGGAUUAGAUACCCGAGUAGUCCCUGUCUCUUAUAC
rnacentral:rRNA from 1 species